AUGAAAGGAAUCGAAUGUAAGGUUCAACACACACCUGCAAACAGCGCUCGGUGUUUGAUGAUUUUGCCCUGUAUCUCCUCCUCCUUGUUGUCAGCGGUUAUCAUGGAAACACGCAGCUGCUCCGCCUCCAGCUGCCGCAGGAACGUGAUGAGGCUUGGACGGUUCAUCCUAAGAGACAAGCACAUGCGUAAAGUGAGCGACUGAGGAAGCGAGAGUCGUGAUUGGCAUCACAUCUGCUCUGGUGUGAGUGUUACCUCUGGAGCGUGAUGGAGAAGGUCAGGCUCGUCCGAGUGAGAGUUAAUCUGGCCCGAGCAACGCCGCUGGAGCUCGGCAGCCAUGAGUCCGUCACGCCGGACUUGUGCAAAUCAUCGUCUUUCUCCUGGAAGAACUCAAACAGAGACUCCGCCUCCUUUCUCCCCAAGUCGCCUGUAACCGUGGAAACCGAGAUGCAUGAUGUCAGAAAAAUCGUAGAACGCACAAUAGAGCCAAUGUUCUACACGGACCGGCAUCCAUAAACAUGAGUGCAAUUACACCGAACCAGACCAUCUAUCCACACUCGCUGCCAUUUAUCAUUCCGUUUGUCUGUGAGAAACAGUGCUGGCCAAUA